UUUUCCCAAAAUGGCAGGCAAUUCCUGCUAGGUACAUUUGUUUUCUGAAAUCUUAAAUGGAGUGGGUUUGGGUGUGCAGCUCCAUCUGAUGAGUUCAGCUGCUGAGGGGGCAGAGAAAGUGUCAUCCAAUUUCUGUGAGCAGGUUCGCUUCCCACACCCCUGCUACCCUCUGGGCCAAACUGCAUCACACACCAAGUCCUUGUGUCUCACUUAUGUGGACGCUCAGUCUUGAAGGGAGCACCACCUCUGCUUUUUGGGGUCAGGAAAUCAUAUUUCAGGGAUAUUAGUGACUUGCUCAGCUUCGGGACUCCAAGACAGUUUCUCUUGGUAAACUCAGAUAAUCUUCCUUGCACAUCUUAGAAAAACAUGGAAUGGGGUAAAAGAAAACACCAGAUUUUUUGUAGUUCAUUUAUAAUCCAACCAAAAUAUUAACAUUUAAAUUAAUGUUUACUUUCCCAAAGCUUAAGUUGUGUGGGUAUAUGCAUUGGAAGUGUUUCUAACUGGGAGAAAGGCAUUUCCAGCUUUCCUAAACAAAACCAACUCCCGAAGGGCAUUGGGCUCCAUCCACUCUUUCAUUGAUAAUUUAAGAUAAUUAAGUCCUUUUUUCUAGUAGCCAGCUGCCCCAGGGUGACGAUAACUGGUAGAUGCUAUUUCUUAGUUUCUGCGUUAACCCUCUGAAAAUGUGAAGAGUCUAAUUGGACUUUUGAUAGCAUUCAGACUAAUUGCCAAGCCUUUGCUCUAAGGUCCAAGAUCAAUACUGACAUUACAAAGCUCGGUAGAAUUAGGAACACAGAAAAACCAGCUGAAAGCGUUUGUUUUGUUUUUUAAUUUAAUUUUAAAGUGGAAGUACUUUUCAACUAUGAAUCUAGCAGAUAUCCUAUGCCAUUCAAAGAAAUCUAAGAAGUCUCCUUAUAUAUGUAGGGUUCUUGGUUUUUUUUUUUUUUUUUUUUUUGGUUUUUUUUUGGGGGGGGUGAUACACAGAUUCAUUCAUCUGUUACCUGACCUUUAAUGGUGUGUGCUAUCUGUGACUGUUUGGGGUUUUGACAGACAUCUGGUUAAACUUUAUAUACUUAGAACAGUGUGGAUCUGGCAUAGAAAAUACAUUUUAGAAACCUGAGGUUUUUGAUGUAUGUGGUCUGUGCUCGUCACAUGGACAGUCAGGUCUUGCUUCCCUCUGGACUGUGCACAGCAGAUUCUUCUCUUUGUUCAGAUGGAAUCACGAAGUCAUGGACCUUCUCUCUCCUUCCAGCUCUUUGCUGUCCAGAACUCAGUCUCCUACACUGCUUGAGUGCCUCUCAGUUCAGCCACAUUUCUUCUGUUAAUUGUCAUCCUGCAAUAUAAUUAAUUUCCACGUCGCUUCUAACUGGAUGAAAUCCCACCACUGAAGAUGUAGUAGAGUUCUGCCAGCAGUGAUUGUUUUAAAGGAACGCUUGCCAGGCGGAACAUCAUGGCGGUGGGAGCCUGUGGAGGAGUGGUCCACUUCCUGACAGCUGGGAGCAGAGAGAGGGGAUACAGACGCAGCCAGGACAGAGCACAGCCCCAAGACACACCAUGCUUGCCUUCUUACAAACCCACCAUUCCUGCCUCAUUUGUCUUGUGGAGUCAGUGAGAUGGAAGCUCCGGCAGCAGAGCUUCCCAGGGACUGCUGCAGCACUGAGGAGGCCAGAGGAAGCAAAGGCUGGCUGAGGACCUUAACUCCUUCCAGUUGCCUCAUGUAAGGCAUAUGCUACCUUCAGCACAUGGAGAUCGUCUAGAGAGAGAGAAGCAUGUCCGGCUUUCUGAGAUGCAGCUUGUUUAUCUAAAGCAGAGCUUAUUAAAUACUUUCCAUUUUGCCAAAGAAAAUUUUACAUACAGUAUAUAGGUUGACUGCCACGGUAUCGUUCUGCUUAUGCUCAAGUAACACUUGUUUUACUGAAUAUGGUACCCAAAGUACAAGAGUAUUGAUACUGGCAUUUUGGUCGUGCCAAAGAGAAGCCAUGAUGGGAUUGUCUUAAUAAGGAAAGAAAGAUACUAUGUGGUGAUGUCACUAAAAUCGACACAUUGCCCCAGUUUGUCUGCUCUUUGUGGCUGCAGUGACCCUUGGUUCCAUGGUCCCACUGCUCUAGUCAUGCUCCUGGCUGUCCUGAGACACCUGUACCCGCAGAGACCGGAAGAGGCCAUCGGAUCCCCUAAAGCUGGAGUUCAGGGGAUGCCUCCGACCCUGCCUGGCUCCAGCCCCGACGAUGGAUUGCACAGCGUGCUGAGAUUGGUCCCCUGAGAUCUAUCUGGAGAUCCAGUGGAUUUUAGUGCUUGUUUGUUUUCAUGGAAACUAUGGUGGGCUUGAACUCAGCUCAAGUGCAGGCACGUGAGUGGACACGAAGGGAAGCAAUCAGGAGGAAUUCAUAUCACAUAAGCCUUGAAGCUAGAGUAUUUAGUAACGUUCUCACAGAUUUCUGAAGGUUGUGGAAGGCUCCAAAUGGCAUUGAGUAACCACAGUCUAAUUAUAAGUCUUUGAAAAGAGAGUGUCUACUAAAAGGAAAAUUUGAAGGAGUCUUUUGAGUUCUUGUUCAAGUCAACAACCCCAACAUUAUUUACUAGAUAUAACCAAUGUGCAGGUCUCCCCAAAACAAAAAUCAUCCCUAACAGAAUGAAAGCAGAAAUUUAAGAAUCAUAAUAAAAUAGCAUGCAUUUCAAUAUGCUAAAACUCAGGAUAAACUUCUCUGGGGGAAUUGAUGAAAUAGUGGAUGUUCCUCUCUUGGUGAAUUUACCCAGAUCAAAUGCUGCCUCUGCGUGAAAAGUACAUUGUGAGGGCUUCUGUGGCCUGUGGGAUGAAGAUGCCUCACACUGUUGGUGGCUGGGACCUGGGAAGAUGUUGUCCUUCCUUUCACAUACAUGCUGUGACUUCACAACUCAUGCUUCGAUCAGUGCUUGGAGUUACGGGAUCAUCCAAGCAGGGUUAAGCACAAGCAAUAUUUCUGCUUCUGUUUAUUCCACCAGGAGGGCCUUCUGAGGACCCAUUUGUCUGAGUUCUUAUGUAGCCACAAAACUUACAUAGUGCAAACUGGAGGUACUUACCCUAUUUUAUUAAAAUUAUCAUCUUAUUUCUAAAGCUCCCCUACUGAAGAGGAUUCUGGCCCAGGGGACAGUCAGAAGAUGUCCAUUGUUGUCCUCCAGAGCUUUGCAGGAAAUCUGGAGAACCAGAUGCCUCAUCAAUAACAGUAAAGAUACCAGCACAGCUAAUAAUCUGUCCUUCAUCUGUACUCCUCAGCCUGCUCCCAGGUCACCCCCAGAUAUUGUUUUUCAGGUGAAUGCUAUAUUUAUACCAUCUUUUGGGAUAGUGGGAUCUCUUUUUAUUAAAAAUUUUCUUAGCAAUUCAUGCAUAUGUAUACACACUGUUUAUAACCAAUAUGGAAUAAAAAGUAUCCAGCCAAAAUCUUGCUUUGAGAAACUCACAAUGAAAUAGAUUCAUUUUUUUAUUUUUAUUCAUAUAAAAAUUUUUUGUGUGUAUUUGGAUGAAAAGAGGCAGCAUAACCUAGUAGCUAAGAUGGUAAAGAAGUCACCGUAACUCCCAAUGCCUUAAUUUUCUCACCUGAGCAACAGGAGUAAAGUCAUAUCACCUCAGAGACUGAGUGGUGAGUUAGCAUGUAUGAAGUGUUUGUCCAUGGGAGGAGGAUUGUAGGAUAUAAGCAAAUACCACAGCAUUUUAUGUAAGGCUUUUGAGCAUCUGCCAAUUUUGGUAACCCCAAAGGGUCCCAACACCAAUCCCCAACACAUAGGGGACAAUAUGAUUUGGGCAAAAAUUGCUGGUCAGCUCUUGUUAGUCACACUGAGAACUUGACCUUUUACCCCGGGGCAAUAGAAGGGAUUUCAGUAUUUGAGCAAAAAGUGCUGUGUAGCUGAAGCCAGACCUCCUGAACCUUAACAGAUGGUACCUAUCAACAAAGGUUAUAGCCGGUCUUCCCAGGACUUGACCAUAAUUCUUAAUUAUCUCAGGAUCCCCAUAAGAACACAGCACCCUUUGUCAACAGGAUGUAGCCUAGAAAACUAAAUCCACAUUCCCAAAAAAUAGAUUAGGGAUGUCUGUCUUUAUUUAGGUUGCUGGUUACA